rnacentral:misc_RNA from 1 species
GAUGAAGAACGCAGCGAAAUGCGAUAAGUAAUGUGAAUUGCAGAAUUCAGUGAAUCAUCGAAUCUUUGAACGCACAUUGCGCCCGCUGGUAUUCCGGCGGGCAUGCCUGUUCGAGCGUCAUUUCAACCCUCAAGCUCUCCGGAGUUUGGUGUUGGGGCGCCUGGGGCUUUUCGACCUCAGGGCCCUCAAGUCCAUCGGCGGGACCGCCAGGACACUGAGCGCAGUAGUAUUAUUUCGCUCGGUAGGAUCUUCCUCGGCGGGUCGAUCUGGCCGCUAAACCCCCCAAUUCUCACCAAAGGUUGACCUCGGAUCAGGUAGGAAUACCCGCUGAACUUAAGCAUAUCAAUAAGCGGAGGA